AAUACUUUCGCGUAAACUGGGCGAUGAGAAAUCCGGACACGUGCAUGCGAAGAGGCCUACAAUGUACAUGUAUGUCAGGAACUCGGGAGUGAAUGAAAACCGUGCAUCCUAAUGGGACGAAAUUGUACAAUUGUGGGGAAUUGAAGUUCCAGGAAUGCAGACGAGUGUACAGUCACCUCACUCCAUGUAUGCAUGAGACACCAUAACUUUUAUAGACUUGACUGACCCUGGGAUAAUGUGGAACAUGGGAAGAAUCACGGCAGCAGUGUUCUUUGCGGUAUGUUUUUCUUCGAUGCUUGUACACACUGACGCCAAUGCGCUCGCACCUGCUGGUGGCACAUGGUUUUCCAUGUUCAAAGAUGCUCUGCGCUUUGUUGCUAGCUUUUUCAUCGAUUCGCGCUAUUCGACGGCAGACGACGAGAUGUAUAACAGUUUCAGAAGACGUAUGAUGAAACUUGAAGACGAUCUCUUGGAUUCGUAGGACAGAAUGGAAGGUUUUCUGCAAAAAAUUAAAGGAGAUGUACGGGAUUUGUCGGAAAGAAAUCACAGAAUGGAAUCUUCGCUGGAAAAAUGUAAAGAAGAUGUACGGGAUUUGUCGGACAGAUAUCACAGAAUGGAAUCUUCCAUGGACAAAUUUAAAGGAGAUGUGCGAGAUUUGUCGGACAGAGUCGAAUCUUUACUAAAAAUAUUUUACAUAGCCGGUUAUCUUCUGAUCAUUUUCGUCAGUUUUAAGAUGAUGUACGCCAGAAGAGCAGUGCAUGGAUAGCUGCGUUUCCUUUAGUCUAGGGGCUAGACGUUGUUACACCAAUGGUUUGAUCAUUGGUGCCGCGAGAGGGCGUUAUCACGACCAACCAAUACCAUCCAUCACGAACCGUCAGUAACAACGAACCAGUAACAAUUCCUCAAAUCUCCCCCAUCCCGAAAGAAGUUGCACAAAAGUCUUGCUUAGCA